rnacentral:rRNA from 1 species
CCUACGGGGGGCUGCAGUGGGGAAUAUUGGACAAUGGGGGCAACCCUGAUCCAGCCAUGCCGCGUGUGUGAAGAAGGCCCUCGGGUUGUAAAGCACUUUCAGUGAGGAAGAACGCCUGGUGGUUAAUACCCAUCAGGAAAGACAUCACUCACAGAAGAAGCACCGGCUAACUCCGUGCCAGCAGCCGCGGUAAUACGGAGGGUGCGAGCGUUAAUCGGAAUUACUGGGCGUAAAGCGCGCGUAGGUGGCUUGAUAAGCCGGUUGUGAAAGCCCCGGGCUCAACCUGGGAACGGCAUCCGGAACUGUCAAGCUAGAGUGCAGGAGAGGAAGGUAGAAUUCCCGGUGUAGCGGUGAAAUGCGUAGAGAUCGGGAGGAAUACCAGUGGCGAAGGUGGCCUUCUGGACUGACACUGACACUGAGGUGCGAAAGCGUGGGUAGCAAACAGGAUUAGAUACCCGAGUAGUC